GACGAACGCUGGCGGCGUGCUUAACACAUGCAAGUCGAACGGAGAGGCCCUGCUUUUGUGGGGUGCUCGAGUGGCGAACGGGUGAGUAACACGUGAGUAACCUGCCCUUUACUUUGGGAUAACUUCAGGAAACUGGGGCUAAUACCGCAUAGGAGCUCCUGCUGCAUGGUGAGGGUUUGAAAGUUUCGGCGGUUCGGGAUGGACUCGCGGCUUAUGAGCUUGAUGGUGGGGUAGUGGCUUACCAAGGCUUUGACGGGUAGCCGGCCUGAGAGGGUGACCGGCCACAGUGGGACUGAGAUACGGGCCAGACGGCUACGGGAGGCAGCAGUGGGGAAUAUUGCACAAUGGGCGGAAGCCGGAUGCAGCAACGCCGCGUGCGGGAUGACGGCCGUCGGGUUGUAAACCGCUUUCGCCUGUGACGAAGCGUGAGUGACGGUAAUGGAUAAAGAAGCACCGGCUAACUACGUG
rnacentral:rRNA from 1 species